GUGGGGAAUCUUCCGCAAUGGACGAAAGUCUGACGGAGCAACGCCGCGUGAGUGAUGACGGCCUUCGGGUUGUAAAGCUCUGUGAUCGGGGACGAAUGGCUGGUAUGCUAAUACCAUAUCAGAGUGACGGUACCCGAAUAGCAAGCCACGGCUAACUACGUGCCAGCAGCCGCGGUAAUACGUAGGUGGCAAGCGUUGUCCGGAAUUAUUGGGCGUAAAGCGCGCGCAGGAGGCUUCUUAAGUCUCUCUUAAAAGUGCGGGGCUUAACCCCGUGAUGGGAUGGAAACUGGGAGGCUGGAGUAUCGGAGAGGAAAGUGGAAUUCCUAGUGUAGCGGUGAAAUGCGUAGAGAUUAGGAAGAACACCGGUGGCGAAGGCGACUUUCUGGACGACAACUGACGCUGAGGCGCGAAAGCGUGGGGAGCAAACAGGAUUAGAUACCCUGGUAGUCC
rnacentral:rRNA from 1 species